rnacentral:tmRNA from 1 species
GGGGGCGACUAAGUUUCGACAGGGCUUAGUUUAAAAGACAUAAAGCAUAUGGCGGUUCGUCCUUACGCCUAAACCAAGAGCACGCGUAAAUAAACGCAGAAAAAGAAAACAAUGUUGUUACAAUGAACGCUAUGCCUUGCGCAGCUUAACUUGUGACAUCGCCUGAUUAGAGCAUUAUCUAAUUCGCCUAAUUUUUGUUUUGCCAGCAAGAAUUUUGGUGUCAGACUAGGCAAAAACUUCACAUAAAUUUCUUCCUUUUUUAUGUGGAAAAUUUUAAAGGAAUUGCUUUAAAAACUUGUUUAUGGGUGAUUUUAAAGUGAAAUUUAAACAUAAACUAAAUAUGUAGAAAAGUCUUUUAAUAGAGUCUUGGACUCGGGAGCGUAACCCGACGCCUCCAC